AUUGGAAUUGCUGAAUCAUAUGGUAAUUCUAUUUUUAAAUGUUUGAGGAACUGCCAUAAUGUUUUCUAUAGCAACUACACCAUUUUACAUUACCACCAGCAGU
rnacentral:pre_miRNA from 1 species